AAAUGACUCUCGGCAACGGAUAUCUCGGCUCUCGCAUCGAUGAAGAACGCAGCGAAAUGCGAUACUUGGUGUGAAUUGCAGAAUCCCGUGAACCAUCGAGUCUUUGAACGCAAGUUGCGCCCGAAGCCACCAGGCCGAGGGCACGUCUGCCUGGGCGUC
rnacentral:rRNA from 18 species